AUGCAUAGUUAAAAAUGUUCAGUGUAGCGUUUGCCUAAAAAAUGUUCAAUGUGUAUUUAAAUAUUGUUCAGUAUAUAUGAAAAAAAGAGGUUUAAUGUGUAUUUAAAUAUUGCUCCGCAUAUAUUAUAUAAAUGUUCAAUGUGUAUUUAAAUACCGUAAUGUAUAUUACUGAAAUUUUAUUGUAUAUUAAGAAAUAUUCAACGUAUAUGAGAAAUUAAGAAUUUUUAAGAAUUUCAAAACUGUGUACACUUUUUUCAUUUUUUUUACUUUACAAAAAAUGUUCAUGUUCUAAAAGGUUUUUUCAGUUUCAUACUUUGUUCACGAUUUUCAAAGUUUAUUCGCAUUCUUUCUUGAAAUGUGUUCACAUUUUUUUCAGCAAAUGUCAAAGCUUUUCGAAAAAACGUAUCUUCCUAUGUACUUAGUAUUUUGAUUAUAUAGAUUCGAUUUGUCCACCAAUAGAUGUUAGCUCAACUGGUGAGGAAGCCAUCAAACUGAUGGGGGGUCUAGAGGUCAUGACCCAUCAUGUAUAUACCAAAUUGAAUACAGCUAGUGAAAGAUCUAUAUUGGCCUUUAUACUAUUUGUGAGGAAG
rnacentral:lncRNA from 1 species